GCAGUCGUGGCCGAGUGGUUAAGGCGAUGGACUCGAAAUCCAUUGGGGUCACGUCGCGCAGGUUCGAAUCCUGCCGGCUGCG
rnacentral:tRNA from 1 species